AACGAACGCUGGCGGCGCGUCUUAAGCAUGCAAGUCGAACGGCAAGAGAGGAGCUUGCUUCUCUCCUAGAGUGGCGGACUGGUGAGGAACACGUGGGUAAUCUACCCUUAAGAUGGGGAUAGCUGCUAGAAAUAGCAGGUAAUACCGAAUACACUCGGCAUAUCACAAGAGGUGUUGAGGAAAGGAAGCUACGGCUUCGCUUGAGGAUGAGCUUGCGUCCCAUUAGCUAGUUGGUGAGGUAAAGGCCCACCAAGGCGACGAUGGGUAUCCGGCCUGAGAGGGUGAACGGACACAUUGGGACUGAGAUACGGCCCAAACUCCUACGGGAGGCAGCAGCUAAGAAUAUUCCGCAAUGGACGGAAGUCUGACGGAGCGACGCCGCGUGGAUGAAGAAGGCUGAAAAGUUGGAAAAUCCUUUUGUUGAUGAAGAAUAAGGGUGAGAGGGAAUGCUCAUCUGAUGACGGUAAUCGACGAAUAAGCCCCGGCUAAUUACG
rnacentral:rRNA from 1 species